GAUGAACGCUGGCGGCGUGCCUAAUACAUGCAAGUCGAGCGAACAGACGAGGAGCUUGCUCCUUUGACGUUAGCGGCGGACGGGUGAGUAACACGUGGGUAACCUACCUAUAAGACUGGGAUAACUUCGGGAAACCGGAGCUAAUACCGGAUAAUAUUUCGAACCGCAUGGUUCGAUAGUGAAAGAUGGCUUUGCUAUCACUUAUAGAUGGACCUGCGCCGUAUUAGCUAGUUGGUAAGGUAACGGCUUACCAAGGCAACGAUACGUAGCCGACCUGAGAGGGUGAUCGGCCACACCGGAACUGAGACACGGUCCAGACUCCUACGGGAGGCAGCAGUAUGGAAUCUUCCGCAAUGGGCGAAAGCCUGACGGAGCAACGCCGCGUGAGUGAUGAAGGUCUUCGGAUCGUAAAACUCUGUUAUUAGGGAAGAACAAACGUGUAAGUAACUGUGCACGUCUUGACGGUACCUAAUCAGAAAGCCACGGCUAACUACGUG
rnacentral:rRNA from 1 species